UUUCCGUAGGUGAACCUGCGGAAGGAUCAUUAAUGUGUUUGGGCCUCACGGCUCUUCAUUCCGACGCUGUGCGCCUUCGGGCUGCACGCUGAGGGAGCAUAUAUCCACCCCUGUGCACACACACGGUGGCGAGCUGGGUAACGGCUCGCCGCUGAUCUUUACACACGUCUAAAAGUCAUUGUGUGUUUAUUUGAGAUAAAAACACAACUUUCAGCAACGGAUCUCUUGGCUCUC
rnacentral:misc_RNA from 1 species